UUUUGUAGAAUGAACCGGCGAGUUACGAUUUGAUGCAAGGUUAAGCAGUAAAUGUGGAGCCGUAGCGAAAGCGAGUCUGAAUAGGGCGUUUAGUAUUUGGUCGUAGACCCGAAACCAGGUGAUCUACCCUUGGUCAGGUUGAAGUUCAGGUAACACUGAAUGGAGGACCGAACCGACUUACGUUGAAAAGUGAGCGGAUGAACUGAGGGUAGCGGAGAAAUUCCAAUCGAACCUGGAGAUAGCUGGUUCUCUCCGAAAUAGCUUUAGGGCUAGCCUCAAGUGAUGAUUAUUGGAGGUAGAGCACUGUUUGGACGAGGGGCCCCUCUCGGGUUACCGAAUUCAGACAAACUCCGAAUGCCAAUUAAUUUAACUUGGGAGUCAGAACAUGGGUGAUAAGGUCCGUGUUCGAAAGGGAAACAGCCCAGACCACCAGCUAAGGUCCCAAAAUAUAUGUUAAGUGGAAAAGGAUGUGGCGUUGCCCAGACAACUAGGAUGUUGGCUUAGAAGCAGCCAUCAUUUAAAGAGUGCGUAAUAGCUCACUAGUCGAGUGACACUGCGCCGAAAAUGUACCGGGGCUAAACAUAUUACCGAAGCUGUGGAUUGUCCUUUGGACAAUGGUAGGAGAGCGUUCUAAGGGCGUUGAAGCAUGAUCGUAAGGACAUGUGGAGCGCUUAGAAGUGAGAAUGCCGGUGUGAGUAGCGAAAGACGGGUGAGAAUCCCGUCCACCGAUUGACUAAGGUUUCCAGAGGAAGGCUCGUCCGCUCUGGGUUAGUCGGGUCCUAAGCUGAGGCCGACAGGCGUAGGCGAUGGAUAACAGGUUGAUAUUCCUGUACCACCUAUAAUCGUUUUAAUCGAUGGGGGGACGCAGUAGGAUAGGCGAAGCGUGCGAUUGGAUUGCACGUCUAAGCAGUAAGGCUGAGUAUUAGGCAAAUCCGGUACUCGUUAAGGCUGAGCUGUGAUGGGGAGAAGACAUUGUGUCUUCGAGUCGUUGAUUUCACACUGCCGAGAAAAGCCUCUAGAUAGAAAAUAGGUGCCCGUACCGCAAACCGACACAGGUAGUCAAGAUGAGAAUUCUAAGGUGAGCGAGCGAACUCUCGUUAAGGAACUCGGCAAAAUGACCCCGUAACUUCGGGAGAAGGGGUGCUCUUUAGGGUUAACGCCCAGAAGAGCCGCAGUGAAUAGGCCCAAGCGACUGUUUAUCAAAAACACAGGUCUCUGCUAAACCGUAAGGUGAUGUAUAGGGGCUGACGCCUGCCCGGUGCUGGAAGGUUAAGAGGAGUGGUUAGCUUCUGCGAAGCUACGAAUCGAAGCCCCAGUAAACGGCGGCCGUAACUAUAACGGUCCUAAGGUAGCGAAAUUCCUUGUCGGGUAAGUUCCGACCCGCACGAAAGGCGUAACGAUUUGGGCACUGUCUCAACGAGAGACUCGGUGAAAUCAUAGUACCUGUGAAGAUGCAGGUUACCCGCGACAGGACGGAAAGACCCCGUGGAGCUUUACUGUAGCCUGAUAUUGAAAUUCGGCACAGCUUGUACAGGAUAGGUAGGAGCCUUUGAAACGUGAGCGCUAGCUUACGUGGAGGCGCUGGUGGGAUACUACCCUAGCUGUGUUGGCUUUCUAACCCGCACCACUUAUCGUGGUGGGAGACAGUGUCAGGCGGGCAGUUUGACUGGGGCGGUCGCCUCCUAAAAGGUAACGGAGGCGCUCAAAGGUUCCCUCAGAAUGGUUGGAAAUCAUUCAUAGAGUGUAAAGGCAUAAGGGAGCUUGACUGCGAGACCUACAAGUCGAG
rnacentral:rRNA from 1 species